rnacentral:rRNA from 1 species
UACGUAGGGUGCAAGCGUUGUCCGGAAUUAUUGGGCGUAAAGAGCGUGUAGGCGGUUCGGUAAGCCUGCCGUGAAAACCUGGGGCUCAACCCCGGGCGUGCGGUGGAUACUGCCGGGCUAGAGGGUGGUAGAGGCGAGUGGAAUUCCCGGUGUAGCGGUGAAAUGCGCAGAUAUCGGGAGGAACACCAGUAGCGAAGGCGGCUCGCUGGGCCAUUCCUGACGCUGAGACGCGAAAGCUAGGGGAGCGAACAGG